CCCGCCCGCCCCUCUGAAAUCUUUCCGCCCCGAUUUUUUUUAUUUUUGAAAAAAAAAAACGAUUUCCGGAUUUUGUUAAUUUCCGUUACCGGUAACCGUCGAUGAUUUUGUUUCAUGUAAAACUUCCUUUCUCAAAUUUCGGUUUUCGUAUUUCUCGUAUUCUUACUGAAUGAUUAAGUCCAUAUAUUCUGCUGAUCUAUGAUGACAACAUCAUUUCCCGAGAAUAGAGAUUGAUUACGAGAAGGGCGUGAAAUAUUCGGGUUACAAGUUAUACAAUGUGUCCAAGAACGCAAAUCGCCGUACGGUCACAAAUGACACAAAUGUUUGUGAGUAAAAC
rnacentral:lncRNA from 1 species